rnacentral:rRNA from 1 species
UGGGUGAUGGCGUGCCUUUUGUAGAAUGAACCGGCGAGUUACGAUCUGAUGCAAGGUUAAGCAGCAAAUGUGGAGCCGCAGCGAAAGCGAGUCUGAAUAGGGCGUUGAGUAUUUGGUCGUAGACCCGAAACCAGGUGAUCUACGCUUGGUCAGGUUGAAGUUCAGGUAACACUGAAUGGAGGACCGAACCGACUUACGUUGAAAAGUGAGCGGAUGAACUGAGGGUAGCGGAGAAAUUCCAAUCGAACUUGGAGAUAGCUGGUUCUCUCCGAAAUAGCUUUAGGGCUAGCCUCAAGUGAUGAUUAUUGGAGGUAGAGCACUUUUGGACGAGGGGCCCCUCUCGGGUUACCGAAUUCAGACAAACUCCGAAUGCCAAUUAAUUUAACUUGGGAGUCAGAACAUGGGUGAUAAGGUCCGUGUUCGAGAGGGAAACAGCCCAGACCUCCAGCUAAGGUCCCAAAAUAUAUGUUAAGUGGAAAAGGAUGUGGCGUUGCCCAGACAACUAGGACGUUGGCUUAGAAGCAGCCAUCAUUUAAAGAGUGCGUAAUAGCUCACUAGUCGAGUGACACUGCGCCGAAAAUGUACCGGGGCUAAACAUAUUACCGAAGCUGUGGAUUGUCCUUUGGACAAUGGUAGGAGAGCGUUCUAAGGGCGUCGAAGCAUGAUCGCAAGGACAUGUGGAGCGCUUAGAAGUGAGAAUGCCGGUGUGAGUAGCGAAAGACGGGUGAGAAUCCCGUCCACCGAUUGACUAAGGUUUCCAGAGGAAGGCUCGUCCGCUCUGGGUUAGUCGGGUCCUAAGCUGAGGCCGACAGGCGUAGGCGAUGGAUAACAGGUUGAUAUUCCUGUA